ensembl:lncRNA
GUGCGUAGGACCUCGGAGAUGGCUUUCAGCGGGAGCUGGGACUUGCCCGCUCGGUGCGAUCCCGGCGGUGGAGGGGAUGGCGGGGGCAGGAGAUGCGCUGUGGUUGGACUUAAUGUGGUUGGACUUAAUGGUCUUAGAGGUCUUUUCCAACCUCAACCAAUCUGCGAUUCUGUGACACUGUGGGAAGCUCAGCGGGCAGAGCGGGUCAAGUCAGGUGGGGCUGUGUCAGUGCUGCAGCAUUGACUUGGUGCUGUGGGGUUUUCUGAGUGCUGGGAAUGUCAUGUAGGCAUACUUUGCACUGCACGUGUGCCAGGCGAAUAGCAGCUGGAUCAUGAGUGGGCCUAAAACAUCCUUGUGGAGUAGAGUUUCUCAUGAGAUACAGAUGACAGGAGAUGUUGCUUAUACAAAGUGUCAUGGCAGACCUGGCUGCUGAGGAGCGUGACAGAUGGAGCUGACCCGUGCCAUCACUUAUGUCAGAGACAGCUACUCACCCUGGGUUUUUCAACAUGUGCUUUGGUCCACACUGCCACUUCUGUUUUGAAGUGCUCUAAGCCUUGGCUGGAUUGAGCUUGGUAUUUGCUGUUAAUGAAUUGUCAAUCUUAUGAGGAGUGGCUGAGGAAACUGGGAUUGUUCAGUCUGGAGGAGACUUAGGGGUGACCUUAUCGCUCUCUCCAAUUGCCUGAAAGGAGGCUGUGGUGAGGUGGGAGUCAGCCUGAAGCUGAGCCAGGGGAGGUUUGGGUUGGAUGUUAGGAAAAAUUUGAUCUCUGAAAGAGUGGUCAGGUGCUGGAAUGGGCUGCCCAGGGAGGUGGUGGAGUCACCGACCCUGGAGGUGUUCAAGAAAUGUGGAGAUGUGACACUGAGGGAUGUGGUUAGUGGGGAAAUAUUGGUGGUAGGUGGAUGGCUGGACUAGAUGUUCUGGAAAGUCUUUUCCAACCUUAGUGGUUCUAUACAUUUUGUAUUCCUUUUUUUUUCCAGCAGAAGCCUGCCCUUUUCUACUUAGUCCCAAAUACUGCUUUAAUCCCUUAUUCCUAAUAGCAAAACGCAUUUUCCAAUACAAAUGGUUGCUAGAUGUUUUAUCAAUCAAAAAUUUAUUUUCAGAAUGAGUGGUGAGGCAUUUGGGACAGGCUGCUGGGUGAGGUGGUGGAGUCACCAUCUGUGGAGAUUUUCAAGAAGUGCCUGAAGAUGUGGCAUUUAAGGACAUGGUUAGUGGGCAUGGUGGUAAUGGAUUGAUGGUUGAACUACAUAAUCUUCAUGGUCUUUUCCAACUCUAAAGAUUCUAUGAUUCUGUGAUUCAUCUUCCAUGACUGGGCCAUCUGGGAACUGGUGAUAUGGUCACAUGGGAAACCAAACAUCAUUUGUAGGUUUGUAGUGCUAUGAUUCAAGUUUUUGGAGUGUUCACCUGGCAAAUGUGAGAGUGGAAAAAGCUGGAGAGAGAACUGCUCAGGGUAGUUCUAAAUUUAAGGCAUUUGGGAGAGAAAAUGCAGUUUCUCAUUACUUUGGUUAAAAGCCUUCAGAAGGCAUUCGGUCUGUUGUAGUAAGCUGUGCCAUUCACCUCUUUCUGAUACGACAGCAAGUACAUUGCCAGCGUUACAGACAUGGAAACAUGGAAAUGCCUUUUUGCCUUCUGUCUACUGACAAAUGGUGAUUACCCUGUGCUAGUAAAGGACUUUUAGAUUGCUGUCCUUCACCAAUCUGAACUCAGAGACAUGAGUUCACUUUUGUACGUGUUAAUUUCAGAUAUCUAAAUAGUGGCAUCUCAGAAUUUAUCCAGACUUCCAUUAGCAUGUGUUGUCCAUUGAAUGUCAGUCAGCAACGUGUCUGGGACAUCUUCAGGAAUGUGCAACCUGAAUCCUUAGCAGCACACAAACUCUUCAAAAACACCUUCUCUGGGGAAUAUAAAUGACUGCUCAUUGCAAAAUCACCCAAGAGUGCAACAUGCAGGGUGAAUGGUUUUCAUUUCCAUGGACUGUAAUAUACAUUGCAAAAUCUUUUUUUUUUUUUUUAUCCCCAGAGACACAGAAAGUAACUCAUACAAGAAAAUCCUUUAUAAUCCCCAGAUACUGUAAAACACAGCAGCAAAAUCCCUCUGUCAUGCUUAAAACACAUACUGAAAAAUCCCACUUCUGUUGCAGAGCAGUAAAACUUACAGCAAAUUCCUGUUCCCUGUUUCUACUUCCCUCCAGACAGACAAAAUAUUUUCUGUCCCAGCCUUAUUACUUGACACAGUAUUUGCACAAACACAUUAUGAGUACUUCCCUUUCUGUGUCAACCAAUAAUAUGCAACUCAUGGAUGCUGGCAACAUCCCAGAAGCAUUGUAAAGGAUAGCUGUGGGAUUUGAACUCAGAAUGCCAGAUCCCAUGAUGUUGAACAUAUGACUGCAGCAUAGGUAAGCAGGGUGAAUUCAGCACCCUGCCAGGCAUCUUCAGUUUUUCUUUGAGUAAGAAUGACUAAGUAGGUCAUUUGCCUUUCCUUGGAUGACAUUCUUGACUGGAACAGACACAGCUGCCAAGUGAAAGGAGAGCUACUCCCUUAUGGCUGUAAGCACGCAAUGCUGGUGGGGAGGUGAGAUGUCCUUAGCCACCCUGUGUGUAGGAUCCUGAAGGAGUGCUCAGCUACUGCUGUGCUCUCAAGGCCCACACUUAUGUUGCAGUAACUAGGCUCCUAUAUUCUGGGUGCUCAAAUGUAUACCUAAGUAGCCAGAAAGGCUAUGAAGAAGUAGUCCUAUUUCACCUGGUGCAGAGUAUCAGUACAGGAUGGUUUGUGUCAGAAUCCAUAAAGAUUACACUGACAAUCUGGUAAACAUAACAGGAGUUUCAUCAGAGGUGACAAAUGUCAUCAACUACUAUGAUCUGCAGCACUUAAAUUUUAUUUCAGAGGCUGUCUUUCCCACCCUGCACAGUUUUCUCUUCCUUGACCUUCGCAAGCAGCAAUCAUGAUGUUUAGCAAGCUUUACCCGUUUUUUUAACAAGUGCUUUCUACAUGUUGGCUUCAGACUUCUAGAGAUAUUUGCACUGAUAAAAAUUUCAAAAGCAAAUGAAAAGCCUAAUUAAAGAUUUUCUUAUAUGCUUAAGGAUGUAAUUUUCCUGUAAGAUUCAAUGCUCCACUGAAUUGUAAUAGAGCAGUAUUAAAAUGCAGUUAUUGCUUAUUAGGCAUAAUGAGCAUAAUGCAUAAUCACAUCAAAAAAUGAACACAUACUGCCAUGAAACAAAGCCCGUGGGACUCCUCUGAUACUUAGGAAAUCAUUUCUGACAUAAACUUCAUUUUCUUCCAUGAUUUUAUAACAAUGUGAAGUGUUAAAAUAGGAAGUAAACUUGCAGCUUCGCAUCCCUGAACAUCCACCUCCACAUCUCAGUGUCUUUUAAGAGCGUUAGGCCAGGUUCCAGCAUGGAUUCAGUCUCUGUUAGAACUCCAAUCCCCUCAAGAGCAUUAGGCUUAAAGCCAGCAUUCAUUUACUCUUGUAACGGCUUAAAUUAACUCCUGUUAAUUCAAGCCCUUUCUUACUAUUUUAGAUAGAAUAAGAGUUGAGAGAUGGAUUCGAUCAUCCAGUCUGAGGGCCACCCAUCUUGCCAGUCUGUCUUUGGAGACUUAAAAUGCUGUGUAAAAGGGUUCGGGGAGGAGAGAUGACCAGCCACUUGUGAACAGAGGGAGGGGCUGGGAAGCCCCCCUUUAUAGGUGGGGAGAAAAGGCAUGGGGAUGGUCUGAUUUAUUUACUAUGUGUGCUAUUUGACAGCAAGUGCCAAACGAAGGUAAGAUUUCAGUAGGCUGGGCACUGUGCUAAUGAUAUUUGGGAUACUUUUCCUGGAGGAACCGAACAGGCAAGACUGAAAGAUGGGAAAUAUCACAGCUUUAUUUUGUGAGUGAAGAACUGGAGCGUGGAUUAAAUUCUGCCCAAAGUCAGACAGAAAACUUGAAACGGAAGGUCUCACAAUCCCAGGCCUUCAAAAUAACAUCGGUCCACUUGAGAAUAUCACUUCUAUUUCAUUUUAACAAAAGUGAGAACUAUUUGUCUCUCAGUGAUGACAAGGAAAACACUCAAAAUCAGAUAGGGAUAAGGACAGUGAAGAUAAAUUUUGUUGAAUGUAAUAAAACAGUCCUUGCACACCUUGAGAACUGGAAGGUGAUUUGAUAAAACUAGACAAUCUUUAAAGUUGGCCAACUGAUAUCUUCAUCUCUACCCAGAGUCUCUAAGGUUCUAUACCAAAGUUGUUUAUUGUGAAGGCUGGGAAGAGAUUUAAGGGAUUUCCAAUGGCACUUUAUACACUAGAGAGACUAUUACUCCAUCGUGCCUACCCAUUCCCAUUCCAAAGCAAAUAAAGAAUAAGUUGAUAGCAGUUUCAAGGAAGCUGAAAUAUCCUCCUGUGGUGAAGGAGCCCAAGGAUGACAUUGUGCUGUUUGUUAAGAGAAAGCCCAGUUAUUUUAUAGGAUUUGGAGGUAAUGGAAAUUGACCUCACUACCAGACAGUCAACAUUCAUGCACCAGUAAGGAUGAGAAUAAAUGCAAUUUUGUGGCUAGAUAACACUAUUCAGCUCAUAAAAAAGAUUUUACUGCAAUCAUUGCAUUUAGGAGCUAGGAUAUAAAUAUUGUGUGUCUUCAAAUAUUUUCAACUCACUAAAGAUACUCAAAAGCUUAUCAAGAUGGAGUCCAUUUGAAAUGAAAAUAAUUAAAAUUUAUAUGAUUUUUUGAAGGUGCAUUAAUUUCGUAUGUCCCCAAAUACCUCUUAUAAUGCUGCCAUACGUAAUGAGUUCCCUCAGACUUCAGAACUACUUUUUAAGUUUAAUUGAAAAUCAGAAGAAAAACAAGUUGAAAAAGAGUGUGGCCAGCAGGUCAAGGGAGGUGAUUUUCCCUCUCUACUCUGCCCUGGUGAGCCCACAUUUAGACUACUGUGUCCAGUUCUGGGCUCCCCAGUUGAAGAAACAGAUAUCUCCUAGAAGGAGCCCAGCAGAAGGCCACAAAGAUGACAAAGGGCCUGGAGCAUCCCCUGUAUGAGGAAAGGCUGAGUAACCUGGGUCUGUUCAGCCUGGGGAAAAGAAGACUGAGGGGGGAUCUGAUAAGUGUUUAUAAAUGUUUAAAGGGAGGUUGGAGGCAGAUAUAUGAGGCCUGGCUCUUCUCGGUGAUGUGUAGGGAUAGGACAAGGAGUCAUGGCCUAAAACUUGUACAUAGGAAGUUCCGUACUAAUGUGCAGAAGAAUAUUUUUACAGUAAGGGUGACAGAGCACUGGAACAGGUUACCAAAUAAGUUGUGCAGUCUCCUUCUAUGGAAAUAUUCCAGACCCAUCUGGACACCUACCUGUGCGACAUACUGUAGGGAAGCUGCUUUAGCAGGGGGUUGGACUUAAUGAACUCUUGAGGCCCCUUCCAACGCCUCCCUUUCUCUGAUUCUGUGAUUUCUUAAAUGUUAAAAAAAAUAUUCUGACAUGUGAAGACAUUACAGACAAAACUGGGAAGAUGUUAAAAUAUAAUUUCUAAGUUGGUAGUUACCUUUUCAUGAUAAAGAUUUGAUUCAUAAAAGAAAUGGUAUGUAGACUGCUGAAGUAAUGCUUUUAUGUGAAUAAAACCAGAGCAGGUCAAACCUAAUACUGUUUGUAAAGCAAUGUGCAUAUCUUGGUGCAAGUACACUCACUGUGACUCUGCAGCUUAGGAAAAGGUAUGUGCCUAACUUUGCAUAUUUGGUAAGUUUUGUGGUCUGAAGCAAGAUUGCUGCUGCAUAAAAUAGAUUGUAUACACGAGUCACUGAAGACUGGGGACUUACUCACUACUAGGUGAGAUCUGUGGUUUGGCUGCUCUUUUAUCUUUCAGUGAUAAGAUCCCACAGUACUGUUGCGACAGUAAUAGAAGUCUCACAGUCCCUUGAAAGUGUUUUAAGUAAUGGAAUUACAUUACAUACUUUAGUGGUUAGUAUUUUCCUUGUGGUUCCGGAUGAGUAAAUUGUACUUCAUUUUUCUUUCCUUUCAAAUGAUUUUGAUAGUGUUCCUAGCAUAGAUUAAAAAAGACAAAUGCAUAUCUAAUUGAAAUAAUCAAAUUUAGACUUUUUACAUGUAUCUUUAUAUUCAUAGCCACAUUUUUAGAGACAUUUAUAUAUGCUUUUUGCAUAUAAUACUUUCAAUUAUUGGAUUUCCUGAAAUAUUAUCAGUGCUUUCCAUGUAAAUACAAAUUUUUAUUGUGGAGACAUUACUGUAUUUCAGGAAACACUUCUUUUCUCUUUCAUUCUCUGAAAUCAGUGUGAGCACUCCCCUCAGUUUAAUUAUACCAGUAUUUCACCUUAAGUUUUAUGGGAAGAGUUGUAGCAAUAAAUGCAGUUAAGGUUGCCCAACACUUUCUGUCGUAUUCUGUACAUAAUUCUGUACAUAAGAAGAGAGAGAGAGGGUACAAUAAAACAAGUCAAGAUUAGCAAAGUUAAUUUUAUCUGGGUUACUGCAAAAACAAGGAAGAUUUAUUAGGGACUCAGUCCCAUAUUUUUAAGUGCAAUUUGACUGAUAUAAUUUUAAAUAAUUAUUGUUAUGUAGUUCAAAAGGAUGGCAAAGACGUUACUUCACAGUGCUACUAAAGAAACAUAGAGGAUUAUCAGUAUUUUAACCUAUAAAAUAUUUUAAAAAUACAUGUUUUCCAAAAAUGUUAAAGAAGCAUCAAAUACCUUCUUAUUUUUCCCAGACCACUGCCUAAGGCUAAUAUUAGCAACACUUUGUACUACCACUAUGAUUUAUUAGUUAAAGUUAUCUUAAAUUAUAACAUCUUUAAUACUGCUGAAGAUGGUGAAGUGUAUAUAAUUGUUUCUCUGAAAAAGAAAGGAAUUAUAGAAUGUUAAAUUACUGUUUUCUGUAACGCAUGCCAGUAUUUCAGGUAGUGUUUACUUCCCUUGCUCAGAAUACCAUUUAUGAUGUUUGAUUACAAAUGUUUUUGUAUAAGGGAAAGAAGGAUUAUUUUCCAAAUAUUCAUCUUUGGUAGUGUAGUAGCUAAAAGUAUAGGAUCUGAUCUAAGCUAGGAGCACUGGUACGUGUGUGUUAGACACAGACCUUCACUAUAAAAGUUUCUGAGAUCCUUUCAUAAAAAUGUGGAAGUCCUAAUCCAAGGUUCACUGUAGUUGGCAGCGUUGUUCUGUUUCCAUUGAAGUCUGCCUUUGGGUAUUAUGGAGUUGAAAAUCAUCUACACUAUUUGUAUAAAUAUCAGGAGCAGUCUUUGUAUAUUAGCUAGUAAAGGGGUUCUUAGUCUGCCACUACAACCAAAAGGGUCUGCACGGCCACUCACAAAGGCAUAACAGUAAUAAAAAUCCUGCAGAAGCUGUGCACGAUGCUGCUAUUUGGAGAAUGGCACCCACCUCUGUUCAGACAAGAGUUGGCCGUUGUCAGGAGAACAGCUGAGUGCACUCAGCAUGGACUUCUAGUCUGCUACCAGAUCCUGUCUGGGACAGCAUCUGAAUUGCUCAUGUGCAAGGAGGCAAACUGUAUGGACAGCAGGAUGCCGAGAUACACAGAUGGGCUCAUGUUCAUAAUGCUUGGGGUGAUCACUUAUUCACAUAGCAUUCACAGUGUUUAUGGGCUCAUGCUUAUGUGGCUUGGGUAUAGCUUCUAUCAGUCUGGUCUGGAAUGGAGAAAUUUAGCUGGAGCAGUCCAGAGCGCAGCCAGGGCACCUGUGUGAUGCUGGUUCUGGUCUGUGAGCCCUGUCUGUGCCUCUAUGUAACACAAAAGAUGUACCCAUAGAAUGCUAGUCAGGAUCCAUAGCAAAUCAGCUGUAACACAAAGGCAGAUUGGCCUGGUGUGACAGAGGCUGCCUGCCUGCUUGCAUGUGUUAGGUGAAAGUACAAGGGCUGCUGCAAAAGUAAUGUCUCCUAUUUUAUUAUGUUAGUCUGUGACAUAAAAAGCAGAUGUAUGGCAGCAGAGCUUGAACCUUCCACCAGUAUUCCAUUAUAUUUUGUUGCUGUGUGACAUAUGGCAGCAGAGGCGCGGUCUGACAGAAUGACUUUCUGACAUGGAAGUGCAUAUGAAGCAAAGGUGUGGAAUUAAAUUCCUUAAGGUGGAAAAAAUUGCACCCAUUGACAUUCGUUGGCACCUGCUGGACAUUUAUGGAGACCAAACAGUAGCUGUGAGCACAGUGAGGUGGUGGGUGGUGCAUUUCAGCAGUAGCAACAGUGAUGUGAAAGACAAGCCAUGUUCCCAGCUGCCCUGCACAGAUGCCAUCCCAUGAAAUGAAGAGCAUCUCAAUCAGCUCAUCCACAUGAAUCUGCUAAUGAUGGUGACUAUGUUGAAAAAUAGUGUUUUGUAGCUGAGAAUUUGAUCGAUCAAAUAGCAUUAUUGUGCUCUUUGUAUCUGUUGUUGUUUCCAUGGAAAUAAAUAGGAGGUACGACUUUUGGAACAACCUGUGUACUUAUUGAGGCUUCUUACCAUGCUAUCAGCUGCUCCUAAACUUAGUUGAGUGGCUGAUUGUGAGUAUGAAGGGGGAGUCUGAUGAAAACAAGCUGUUUAUUGUUCUCUACAGCAGCAAAAGAGACAGCUUUAUUGACUCAGAGGACCUGAGGUCUGCCUCGAGCAUCCCACUUCGUAAGCAAUGAGAAGGUCCAGUAGGCUGUGGCAGCAGUGGAGGACUGAGGACCAGCAGAGCCUAUAGGCCAACUGCUGGAAACCAGGGACUGUCUAAGGUGUGAUCUUACCCCAGAUUUACUCAGAACAGCUGUCCAUUACACUUGAUAACAUCCUGGCACCCAAAAGAGCCAAGUACUUGUAUCAGACCUGAACAGAGGAAGUGGAAAGCAAGUCUGAAGGAUAAGUAUUGCAUUAUUAUAUUGAAUAAAAUGUAGGUUAGCAAUUAUUACAUAUUAAGUGGGAUCUGAAUUACUUAACACCCGUGCAAUCUAUUUUCUUCUCCAGAAACAGGGGACCACUUGGAAGGAUUGAGGUACCUCAACAAGAGCCAAGUAUUAUAUAAUCUGUGAAGGGUUUAUGACAGAGAUGGAAAUAAUUCUCAAAGACAAAAGCUAUUUAUAAGAUAUUUUCUGCAAAUAUUAUUGCACUGUUUGGAUGGUUUUCAGUUGAUCAUUAAUUACUUUUUUAGAGAGAAAAUUUCUGCUCUGUUGAUCUUUUGGGGUCUACAUUUGGCAUCCGAGGAUGUCUGUGUCUGUAUUGUGCUGCUGCUCAUCUAUCUGCUGAUAUUCAACUUACAUUUAAUUUUUUAAUUUUCUCAGCUGUUAUCUACUGAUUCUAAUUUGCUGUAACUUAUAUUUUGAAGAGACUACUGAAGUGAUUCAGGAACUAGCCUAAGUAAACUGUUUUCAGGUAUUUCACAUAGCUUUGAAAAGUCAUGGAGGAUAGAAGAGACAGCAGAAGACUGAAAAAGAAACAUGAUAACUCUUGGAAAAGCAGAUGGAAGAGUACCCAAGUAAUUUUAAUUAAGUAGCCUAACUAACUUCCUGGAUUUUGGAAAAAAAAUAACCAGUUUCUAAAUGCCUAGAACAUGAUAAGGCAAGAAAAACUUGCUGACAUUCCUCUCUCGACAACAUGUGAUACCAAACCAAAUGAAUAUCCUUUUUCUACAUAUGGCCUACUAGAUACAGAUGAAGCAGUAAAUAUUACUCCGUUCCCUGUUGAUACUUGUAAGUAACUAAAGAUGUACAUCCUAGACAAAAUCACUAGAAGGUGAGGAUAGAGGAGGACAACUGCUCAGCAAUACUACUUUUGAAAAGUAGCUGUGGGUUGCUGACAGUCAAUUUGAGAUGGCAUUUCAGGUAGGCUUUAGGAAUUUGGUGACUAUUUAAUGUGACAGGAUGAUUUUUAUUUUAUGCCAGGCUUUCUAUCUAAAUGGCAUAAAUAAAAAGGGCUGCAAUUCUAGGUCAUGUACAAACAGAAGUGACGCAGCUUGUUUCAGGUGAUUAAGUCCUGGAUUGCUACUAGUUUCUUUCUGAGUCCUUUAAUGUGUCAUUAAAGUCCUCUGCCUGCCUUCUCCAGAGAGUCUCAGAGCUAAAACAUCGAUACUGUAAAAUAUACUACCCUGUUAUCAUACCGGUAAUAAUCCUAUGUGUUAAGCCUGAGAAUACAAACUAAGUGUAUAUUGUAAACUACAUAUUUUGUUCUGGUAAAUGAGAAAAAUUGCAAGAUGUUUACUUGCAAAAGGUGUUUUGCCUAGUUUCUCCAUACUUGAUGUUAAUCUGCCCUUGACAGCUAUUAAAGUAGAAAUUACUGCCACUGUAUUGCACAAAAGCAGAGAUUCUGCAAUUGUGAUUUUAAUGUAGUUUGGAACACUUUGUAGUCUUCAGAGUCAGACACAUUUUCCCCAUCGCCCAAAUUAUUUUAAAUUGCAAGUAAAGUUUUGCAAAGCUGUUACCAUUAUUUUCUCAGUUCACCUAAGCUGUUUUUACAAGACAUGUUAUCUAAGCGAAAUCACAACAUCUUUUAUUAAAGUAGUUAUAAGAGCAUUGAAACUGUCAGCUGUAAUUUGCAGCUUUUUCUCCUUUAGAUUCUGCACUAUUGCUGAAAAAAAAAAAAACCAAAACCAAAACCCACAGAAAACAAACCCCAGUAACCUAAGUUACAAUCCUUUUUUUUUUUAAUAUAUAUUUGCCCAGUGUGAAUUUUAGAGAAGAUACCUGUAAAAGUUUAUUUGAAGAGGAAAGAGCAGAACUGCCAAUGGGCAGCCUGAAAAAUGUCUGAUGAUGCUGUGGUCAAGAGCGUCACACCUAUGGGAUAAAGAGGAUAUUUUGUUGUCUUUGCAUCUUCUACAUGUAAGAGUGCAUUUAAGCUGAAGUGAAGGCCAGAACCUGAGCCCAGAACUACAGUCAAGGAGAAAGCAUCUUCUUUUUAGAUUUUUCUAUGACUUAGCCUGCAGUUCUGCCUACAAAUCUCCAAAUCACUGCUAGAGAAGCAGAUGCAGUUGUUUAUGUGCAGGUGUGCUGCAUACCUGAUGUAAUCCUGCAAGUUCUACAUCCACAGAACUUCUGCAGAAUUCUGAGUGAGGUCUGUGCUUGGAAGGCUUCCACAUCCAGGUUCUCACAUCAGGAAAACCUCAAUCAAAGCCCUCAAUCAAAGUUCAAAAGCAAACAAACAAGCGGUCUUUCCUUAUUGCUGACAUUAAUCUUAUCUGAGUCUCAGUCCCCCAGACCUCUCUCCUAUGAGUUACCUAGGUCUGUGACACAGACCAUAUUUUGUUUUCAGAUGCUAAUGUAGCUUUUACUUCAUGAUCACAUUAAUUGCAUUUGUGCGGUGGAGAUUUUUAAUCCCAAAAGGUGCUGCCAGCUUUUGUGUACUCAAUUUAUGCUUAAGAGGAGUUUCUGCACUUCACAGUGACCUCUGCUGACUUUCAUAUAUUUAAAUUCUGAAGUUGUGAAUCUCCUUGAUUCAUCUUCUGUUAAAGCAUGUCUGCUAUGCAAAAACUGGCAGGGGGGUUAAGGAGGAUGAAAAAAGCGGUAUUACAGAGAACCAGGAUAUGGCAUGGUAUUUGUUCCUUGAAGGCAUGUUGCCACCAAGAAUAACACCAAGAAUAAUGAUCACACAAAGAGAAAAAAAGAGUGCUGGAGAUCUAUGAAAUUUACUUGAUUUUGAAAAGCUUAGUUGAAGAAAGACCUAGAGGUCUGACAAUGCCUACUGAGCUCCUUAAAUGCAGCGGGUUGGCACUCUGUGGAUGUGGCAUAUCAUCUGUUGGACAGAGUAAGUCAGCCAUUCUCCUGGCUCUGCUCUAGCUAUGCACAGCUGGGAAUUUCACAUCAGGAAAGGGAGGAGGAUACACAAACUCCUGAUAUUUCAGAAGAUGUGCAUGCUAAAAUGCAAAGCCCUGGGUGCUGGAGGUAGCUGUGAUGAGUUUAUGGCGCAGGAGCCACAGCUGGUAGGAAGAUACAUGAUCUCACCCGAAAAUGCUGUGUUAUUUUAGUCUCUCUUUUACACACAUAGAAGAAUCAAACAGUUUGAGGAUGAGAGAUUUGAGAAGCAAAAUGGAAGAGAUCAGAUUGUUACACAAGAAGAACUAAGGGAGCUUUUAGUAGAUGAGUAGGAACAAGAUGAAAUGCUGUAAUACCCAGUGCAAGGUCAGUGGGUAUUAUUAAAGGCAAAACACUGGAAUUUCUGCUCUAGACGCUUGGUGAUUAAGGACUCCAUACAUGAACAAGUAGUUCUUGCUCCAGUCAUCAAACAGCCACACCAAAGAAUGAGUAAGAUGAAAGGCAAGGCUGCUGUGGAAUGUGGAGCUGAUGAGAUAGCCGCAUGCUGAGAACACGUUGGAGGUGAAAUCGAUGAGUGAAUUCAGUUGAUUGCACCUUCUGUAAAAUGUAAAGAAGCAGAGAAGAGUAAGAAGUUUUCAAUGAUUCUAAGAAAUCAGAGCAAAAAAAGACAAAACAAAAUCCCAAAACAACCUGAGAGACUGCUUCCAUGACACUGCAGUCUUAUGGGUUACGCUGUCAGCAAAAAGACUGUGAGUUUUCUGUAGACUCAGCAAGAAUGGCCAUGCGGCAGCAGUUAGCACUGUGUGCAAUGCUGGAAGUGAUAGGAACCAACUGGAGCAGUGACUGGAAGCAGAAGUCUUCAGAAGAGCAUCAGCAUUCUGUGAUGUGAGGAAAAUGCUGUCCUGCCCCUUUAUACUGGUGGUGUGUUUAGUGGACUGGGACAAAUAUCUCUCAUUAGAUGGGAAUUCUGAGUUUUUCCUUUCUUUUGUUUCAAUAACAUGAAUACUGGAGAAGGAAAGUAGGCUGCUCUGCAUCUGAAAGGGAAAGCAGUGAAGUCUGUGAUCUCUGUUUGCUUAAAUGCUAAACAGAAAGAAAGAAGAAAGAAGGAAAGAAGGAAAGAAAGAAAGAAGAAGGAAGGAA